UACGGGGGGGGCAAGCGUUGUUCGGAAUUACUGGGCGUAAAGGGCUCGUAGGCGGCCAACUAAGUCAGACGUGAAAUCCCUCGGCUUAACCGGGGAACUGCAUCUGAUACUGGAUGGCUUGAGUUCGGGAGAGGGAUGCGGAAUUCCAGGUGUAGCGGUGAAAUGCGUAGAUAUCUGGAGGAACACCGGUGGCGAAGGCGGCAUCCUGGACUGACACUGACGCUGAGGCGCGAAAGCGUGGGGAGCAAACAGG
rnacentral:rRNA from 1 species